UCGAAGCCUAGAAAGCACGACCGCGAACGAGUUUCUUUUCGAGAAGCGAGGGGAAACCCUCGGGCAUCCCUUUGCUUCCUCGCUCGGCAGGGGAAGGAGCCUUGCGCUCCAUUCCCUCCGAAACUAACGAACCCCGGCGCGGAAAGCGCCAAGGAAUCAUAACGAAAUGACUUGUCCUUCCGGCCCGUCAUCGGACCGCGAUGGGCAUGUGUCUGAUCAUAAAAAUCAUAACGACUCUCGGCAACGGAUAUCUCGGCUCUCGCAUCGAUGAAGAACGUAGCGAAAUGCGAUACUUGGUGUGAAUUGCAGAAUCCCGUGAACCAUCGAGUUUUUGAACGCAAGUUGCGCCCGAAGCCUUUAGGCCGAGGGCACGUCUGCCUGGGCGUCACGCACUGCGAUGCCCCCCAAACUACUUGUUAUUUGGGGAGCGAAUCUUGGCCUCCCGUGAGCUCCAACUCGCGGAUGGCUUAAAAACGAGCCUCGAGACGGUGAGACGUCGCGACAAGUGGUGGUUUAGGGGCUUCGGCCCUCUAGCUUUGCGCGUCGCGCGCCUUUCGCUCCGUGUCUCCAAAAGUUAACCCCGAAGGAGCGUACUUGCUACGCUGCCAGCAUCG
rnacentral:misc_RNA from 1 species